AGACCCGUAGGCGAGGCCCGUAUGAGAGUAGCAGUAUAGGUGAGACCUGAGAGCAGGGUUUCUCAGUAUUAUGGUUGGGUGAGACUCGUGGGCGAGGCCCGAGCGAGAGUGGUUAGACAAGUGGAACUAGAAGGAUAUAGGUGGGUGAGACCCAUGGGCGAGACCCAUGGGCGAGGCUCGUGAGUUUUAGCAGCACAUGUAGGACCUGGUAGGGACCUUAGUGUCAAGAUAGGGGAUCGAGGAUCCCAGGAUUGUAGUGUCUGAAUGGCAUAAUGGAUUGAGCAGUUAUAGGUGGUCGAAGUUUCUUCGAAAGUCACUGGGAGCAACUAGGAGUUGCGUUGGGGCUAGUGAUGGGUGGGAGCCGGUAAUCCAGAUAUUGAUAGAUUGGUAGGGACCAGGGUGGUCUCAGUUCAUCCGGAAGGCAGAUAAGGAAUAGCAAAAUUUCCAGCCAGUAGCAGUGCUGGUAAGCGGUCUAUGGUGGAAUUCAGUUAGUUGAUCGUGGGGUGCUCGGCACCCAAUUAUAGUAGAGAGGAAUGUCCAGUGGAUACUGGCGGUAAUGACCCGUACUAGAAGUAGCGGGGGUGAUGGAGUGGGUGAAGGGUAGAACCUUCACAGUAACAGAGGAAGUGGUUGGUUAUGGAAGGUUGCCUUGGAAAGGGCGGAAAUCACACAAGGAAAGAGGGGGUGAACCCCUAUGGGUUCAGUUGCAGUACUCGGAGAGUACCAGAAGGAUUGACGGUUGAGUAAGUUGCGGUAAUGACCCGUACUAGAAGUAGCGGGGGUGAUGGAGUGGGUGAAGGGUAGAACCUUCACAGUAACAGAGGAA
rnacentral:lncRNA from 1 species